GAGACGAAGUCUCACUCUGUCACCCACACUGGAGUGCAAUGGCGCGAUCUUGGCUCACUGCAACCUCCACCUCCUGGAUUCAAGUGAUUCUCUUUCCUCAGCUUCCUGAGUAGCUGGGAUUACAAGCACCAGCCACCAUGUCCAGCUAAUUUUUUUUUUUAGUAGAGAUGGAGUUUCACCAUGUUGGCCAGACAUGGUGGUGCAUGCCUGUAAUCCCACCUACUCAGGAGGCUGAGACAGGAGAAUCGCUUGAACCUGAGAGGUGGAGGUUGCAGUGAGCUGAGAUUGUGCCACAGCACUCCAGCCUGGGCGACAGAGCAAGACACAUCUCAAAAAAAAAAAAAAUGAGGAGGAUUUAUUCUACCAGCUGUCAAAUUAUAUUAUAAAGCUACAGUAAUUAGGCACAGGAAUUGAUAAAAUGUCAGUGAAGACGAGUAUUCAAAAUCAGAGUAAAUGCUAUUGAGAAAAUCAGAUACACUUUUAGAAAACAUAAAAAUUAGAUGCCUUUCUCACAACUUGCAGAAAAACAAAUUCCAGAAGGAUACAAUUAAAAGCAUACUUGUCAACUGGGCACGGUGACUCAUCCCUGUAAUCUCAGCACUUUGAGAGGCCAAGGUAGUGGGAUCACUUGAGCCCAGGACUUUGAGACCAGCCUGGGCAACAUAGCACGACCUCGUCUUUAAAAAAAUUUUUUUUUUUUAAUCAGCCAGGCAUGGUGGCAUGUGCCUGUAGUCCCAGCUACUCAGGAGGUUGGGGUGAGAGGAUCACUUGGGCCUAGGAGGUCAAGGCUACAGUGAGCUGUGAUCAUGC
rnacentral:lncRNA from 1 species